rnacentral:lncRNA from 1 species
CGCCAUCUGAAGGAAAGAUCACGCAUCAUUCCGCUAGAACAAAAUCAACAUGGCUACCUGUCAAUACAAUUUGAAUGCAAAUGCAGACUAUAUGCAGUUUAUCACCAAUUCAAGAUGAAAAUAGUUCAAUUGGAUGACUUGCUGUGCGAUACUGUUCUGCCAUAACCUAACAAAGAUAAUAUUUUAAAUAAAAUCCGAAAAUACAGAUGACUUCCAAAUGUUUUCUUUAUUCAAGUUAUUACUACAAAUACUAAUAAGUAUGCAGCUCUACAUUUUUAAUUCUAAACUAAGAAAAUUAUGCACAGGAGAAGAAGUGUCCAUUACACCAUGGGAUCAAUGGAGAUAUAUUUAAUUUUCUUAUGGUUAACGAUUAGAAGAUUUGCAUUGAUUGUGUCAUCCUAACAAGAGUUUUAUUCUAUAAUAUUAUGUAAAUAGAAUGCAGUUACAGUGACAAUGAAUAAUCAAGACAAGAAUCUGUCAAAAGGUGAGUUCAAUAAUUUGACUGGAAGUGUCUACUCAUUACUAUCAAGAAUGAUAAGAAGAAUCCCACAAUACUGCAACCAUCAAAGAUUUUUGAAGAUACUGCCUUCAUUAUAUUUACAAUUGGAAAAAACCANACUCAGUUCUAUUCUAUCAAUAGAAUUGCAGAAGAAAUGCAUCCUAGUUAUCACAAAUUAAGAAAACAAAUGGCAAAUACAUUAUAGUAGGAAAUUGUAUUCUUGAACAAAAUAUUUGACCAAGUUUUGUACAUGAGAUUCCAUGUGAAUUAUUAUGCAAAUAGAAUACAGCUGCAGUGUCAUGAAAUAAUCAAAAUCAUAAAUUGUAAAAAGAGAUUUUCAAUUCUUUGACUGAAAGAGACUAUGCAUUACUAUCAACAACGAUAAGAAGAAUGCAACAAUACUUCAACCAUGAAAGAUUUUGGAUGACACUGCAUUCAUUAUAUUUACAUUGUAAAGAAACCAUAAGCAGUUCUAUUCUACAAAUAGAAUCGAAGAUAGAAUGCAUCCUUGUUAUUACAAAUAAGAAAUUCAUUCUAAUCUGUAAUUUUCAACAUGUACUAAAUUUAUCAAUGUACUUUUUAUUGAGAACUUGAAAACAUUACUAGGAAUUGACUGACACCAAAAAAUUGUAUAUAUUUAUAGAAAGUAAUGUAAUAAUCUCUAGAAAGAGAUUCCAUAUGAAUUAUUUUGCAAAUAAAAUGCAGCUGCAGUGUCAAGUGUCAA